AACCCACUAUUUGAUUUCUCUCAACAUGCAACCAUGCCACAUCAUCAACCAUUAAUUUGUUCACAUCUAUUUAGUGAAAAACUCAUAUUUUUUGCACAUCCAUGCAUACUACUUUUUAUCAAGUUAUUUCCACUAAGUGAAGGAUCUACAAUCUAUCAUACAAUUACAUUAUACAUUUUCACUGGAUAUUCUUUUUGUCGCUACUUUUCACUCAUGUAUGUUCUCAACAACGUAGGCUCACAUAUGUUAACUAAAAUUUUUCGCAACAACGUGCGGACAUCAUCUAGUUUUAUUAAGACUUAAGGAGUUUUUGUACAAGGUGGGUAAAAGGAAUAUACAUGAAAGAAGAGAUUACAAUCUCCUUGCGAGAUGGGACAACAUGACGACCACUCCGUCAGAAUAUCUUUUACAAGAUUGCAAGGAGUGUCUAGAGGACCAUAGCAGUUGCUCCGAGGAACAACGCUGCACAGUCAGCCAAAGAUCGGCGAUGAGGUCGCAGCUUGAAGGUUGCGGGUGAAGAUCGUGCAGUUCAUCCCAAAUCGGGCGAAUCAAGGAGCAAUGAAUGAGCAUGUGGGCCGUCGAUUCCGUUUGGUCGCAGAAAGGACAGCGAUCCGAACUCGAGAUCCCCCUUCUGAAGCGCCGCUCGUUGGUGAAUAGCCGGUUCCGCAAAGCCAGCCAGAGAAAGAUCCUACACCUUCAUAUUAAUCUUAUACUAGCGGUUUAAUUGUUGGUUAAAGUUUGACAUAUCAUUUCGUGCCGUGGAGAAGAGGAUCGUAUAUACAUCUAGAGUGUAUUUGGUUCACGGUCAAACAAAGAUGAAUAUAGAGAUAAUCAUGAA